rnacentral:misc_RNA from 1 species
CCUCGACCAAUGAGCGAGAAGAAUGAUGGAUUCUGGGAGGCCUGUUUCGCCAUUUUAGAUAUCUCCCACCCUCGAGUAGCAUUCUACGCGACUUUGGCAAGUGAGUUUCUGGCAGAAUUCAGUAAGUCUCGACGAUCGUAGGAGCUGUGCGGGAGAGCUUUGUAUAAAUUACGUUUAUUGGAGCGUGUGUGGGUUCUUUACGGAACCCAAUUUCUUAGGAAUUACCACGCUGGAACUAAUGGAAUUAGAGAAUAUUGUUGCAAAUACGGUCUACUUGAAGGCUAGAGAAGGUGGUGCUGAUAGCAACAAAGGCAAAAGCAAAAAAUGGAAAAAAAUACUCCAGUUUCCUCAUAUAUCUCAAUGCAUAGAUCUGAAAAAUCAAAUAGAUUGCCAAUACUCUUACGUUGUUGAGCAACAACCUAUUGGUCAUCAACUUUUUCGUCAAUUUUGUGAAACAAAACCUCAUUAUAGCAAAUGUGUUAAUUUUUUAGACAUUGUAGAUGCUUAUGAAGUGCAGUUGGAUGAAGAUAGGGCUGAUGUUGCCCAAGAAGUUUUUACCAAAUAUCUAAGCAAGGAGUCAAGUGAGUUUGUCGAUGUUGUCAACGAAGAUCUAAUUGAAAGAUGUCUUUCUAAUCUUCAAACUGCAAGUAGAGAUUUGUUUACUGAAUGUGGAAGGUCAGUGAAAGAAUUCUUAUCUCGGGAGCCAUUUAAAGAAUUUGAAAACAGCAUGUACUUUCAUAGAUAUUUACAAUGGAAGUGGUUAGAGCGGCAGCCAGUUACUGCAAAAACUUUCAGAAUGUAUAGGGUUUUGGGAAAAGGUGGUUUUGGCGAAGUGUGUGCUUGCCAAGUUAGAGCUACAGGAAAAAUGUAUGCUUGUAAAAAGCUGGAGAAAAAGAGAAUAAAAAAAAGAAAAGGAGAGUCAAUGGUACUCAUUGAAAAAAAUAUUCUUCAGAAAAUUAAUUCGAGAUUUGUAGUUAGUCUGGCAUAUGCAUAUGAGACCAAAGAUGCAUUGUGUUUAGUUUUAACAAUUAUGAAUGGGGGAGAUUUAAAGUUUCACAUCUAUAAUAUGGGUGGUGAGCCAGGUUUUGAUUUAGUGCGAGCAAGAUUUUAUGCAGCUGAAGUUACACAAGGCUUAGAACAUUUGCAUGCUCAAGGAAUAGUUUAUCGAGAUUUGAAACCAGAAAAUAUCCUUUUAGAUGAUCAUGGCCAUGUCCGAAUAUCAGAUCUUGGACUAGCUACUGAAAUAUCAGAUGGAGAAAUGGUCAGAGGUAGAGUUGGUACUGUUGGUUAUAUGGCUCCCGAAGUUAUAGACAAUGAAAAAUACACAUUUAGUCCAGAUUGGUUUAGUCUUGGUUGCUUCAUUUAUGAAAUGAUUGAAGGACAAGCACCUUUCCGUGCUAGAAAAGAAAAAGUAAAAAGAGAAGAAGUUGAAAGGAGGGUAAAGGAAGAUAAAGAACGAUAUUCCACAAAAUUUAAUGAUGAUGCGAAAUCCUUAUGCCAAGAGUUGCUGAAAAAAACAGUUAAAGAAAGGCUUGGUAGUAAUAAAGGAAGAUAUGGCGCUCUAGAAGUUAAGAUCCAUCCAUUUUUUAAAAGUAUCAAUUGGAAAAGAUUAGAAGCUGGUAUUUUACAACCUCCUUUUGUGCCUGAUCCACAUGCGGUAUAUGCUAAAGAUGUUUUGGAUAUUGAGCAAUUUUCUACAGUGAAAGGUGUUAAUAUAGAUGCUAGUGAUGAUACAUUUUAUAGCAAGUUUAACAUGGGAAGCAUAUCAAUACCAUGGCAACAUGAAAUGAUUGAAACAGAAUGUUAUUCUGAAUUAAAUAUUUAUGGCCCUGAUGGUGGUCCUAGCCCUGAUUUAAUGUUGGAUCAGCCUCCACCUGUAGAGCCUACUGGCUGUUUUCCUUUUCGGAAAAAAACAAAAAAUUGGAAAAUUUGUUGUUGAAAAUUUAGCCAUUGGAAAGAAAACUCUGUGACAUCCCAAGAUGGCCCGUUUACCACUUAUGAAAAUCCCUAACAAAAUUAAAACAUCAAACAGCAAUGCACAUCUAUCUUUCUCCGAAGAACCAAAUUCAUCUGUAUUAUUGUUACCAGCAUCUGGAGCUUCCAAUGCUAAUUACUCAAUGGGCCAAGAAUUGUCUUCCCCUGCUAGUUGAAAAUUAUAAACAUUAGCACAAAAACUAAAUGCCAAAAGUCAUUCCUUAAUGUGAUCAUAUUAGGACGUGGUUUCAAAGGUCACUGUGCAUCUCCCAAAUGACAUUCAUGUUUGAUGGUGUCUUUCAUAUCUGUCCUGCUGUUGGAGUUCCUGUAGCAUGAUCUGUAAAUGUUUUAGAUGUGUACAGCUGGAUCUGCCCCUUCAUUUUUAAACAUGAAAAAAAAAACUUUCUGCAUUUCAUUUUAUACUAUAUUUACAAAUGCAAUUCUACAAUAUCAUCAUAGUGCAGAGAUUGUAAUUAUAAUUUUGAAUAUUUAUUGACUCAUUUUAAAUACUUGGACAUGUACAUCUGUUUGUCGUGUGUAUUUGAUGUAAAUCAUUCCGAUUGAAAAGGACUUUAUUACCAGAAGAUGUAUGUGCCAUUUCUUCCCUUUAGUGUUUGUUUUGUUUUAAAAAUGUGAAUGAGUGUUUACUUUACACAUGCUGUGAAUGAAACUGUUGUACUUUUCAAGAAAAAGUUUGCUACACUUUUAAUCUGUUCAACUAUUUGUAAAAAAAUGUUGCAACUCUUAAAAAAAAUAUUGCCAAUUUCUAAACAAUUUAUUAUAGUGUAAUACUUCAUUUCGAUUUGUGUAUUUUUUAAAAAAACUUCCAAAGAAAAAUAGAUUUAGCUAUUUGCACAAUAGAAUAUCAUAGUGAAGUGUAAUUUUUUGUAUUACCCUUUAGUAACUUUCAAGCUGUAACAUAGAACAUUCUAUUCUAUGUAUGUAAUGCUCCAUGGGUACGAAACUGCUUGUGAUCAGGACUUAUUAGUCUUAACUUUGCACUUUUUAAAAUUGUAUAUGAUUCUGGUUAUCAAAGAUUUGAUUCUGGAAUAACUCUUGAUAUGCAAAACUUUAAUGUUUGUUUUACCUUCUAAUGUAAUCAAGUGUUUUCUUUACACUUUUGGGGACACACAUGGGAUGAGAUUGAUUAAUUUAUUCAGCAAAGAUUUUAUGUGUAGAAAAAAAUAUCUUGCUCCUUACUCGUGAACUCUGCUACAAUUUUUAGCAUGCCUGACGAAUGCGUUUUUCUUUAAUUUUAAUAAUUAAUCUGCAAUUAAAUGCAACGAAAAAAAAGCUUAAAACAUUUUCUCUUAAACCUGUGAUAAUGAACAAUUUAUUUGGAAAUACUUAUUUCAAAAUUGUGCAAUGUUUUUUUUCUUUUAAUAUUCUCUACAGAUACUCGAAAAUAUUGCUUUUAAUUUUUCCCAUUUUAUUUAAGCUUAACUUAUUUUUCGUAAAAUAUUAAUAAUUUAUUAGCAAAAAUGGGAAAACAUGUGUGUAAAGGAGCAAAUAUAAUAAACUUUUCACUAUAUUUGACUUAAGCUGCGAGGAAUGAGUUCCCGUAGUUCUGAAAUAUUAUUUAAAUGUUAGAACUUAUAUAUUUUCUAAAAGUUGUUAUAUUAUUCUAAAGCUUUAUUAGUAAAUCCAGUUGUUGACUGUCAUUUAACAAGUGCUAUGUAAAGGGCACCUUGUGUCAUUUUUAAAACAAUGAUUGUAUUAACGAAUAUUUUAUAUGAUAAAGCAAUUUGUAAAAAAUUAAAGUAAAUGAUUUCCAUUUUGAUUUAAGAGUACCCUGUUUAUUUUAUGCUGAAAUGAAGCACACAUUUCAGCUCCAGUAACAAAUAUUUUAAAAAAAUUCUCUCUACAAAUAAUUUAGUAGAUCAUAUUCUGCUUGUAUUUUUAAUUUUGUUGUUUAUAUAAAGAAACUUUGGCUAUAAAAAAACAAACAUAGACUAUGUUUCUUUUCAGUAUAAAUCAUUCAUUUUGUAAGGAAUUUGUUUAGUAAAAAUUCGUUUAAUUCAUUGGUUCAUAUAAUUUCCCAUUUCUUUGUAAAUGUUAAACUUUUUUUUCCCAUUAGUAAAUUUCAGCUUCUGGAAUGAUUGAGCACAGUAUGUUUUUGAAAGAUAUAAAUUUAACUAGUUUUUAUUAUGUUGUACAUAUAAAAUGUAUUAGUUUGAUUUUAAUUGCAUUUUAUUCAAGAACAGAAAGUUAUAUUAUAGGAUGUCCAAAAUGUACGAUUAAAUAUCUCUAGCAAUACACAUUGGAUCAUAGAAUCUAAAAAUAUAUGGUGCAAAAUAUUUUCAAAGAAAUGCAUUUAAUGAUAUCAAACUCUACCUACAAAUCUUACCCCCGUCUAAGUUAAGGAAGGGGUAACUUCAAAAUCUCAAAUAGGAAUCAUUUUUUUUUUCUUUAGAGAUUUGGAUUUUUCAGAAAAAAGUUCUGCCAUUUUAAAGCAGAUUUUUGCAUUUUAGUUUAUAGGUGAUGCUGCAAUUGCAAUCUGAAAAUGGUGUGAAAUUUAUUUAAAAUAGAGAUCUUUAAAAAUACAUAUCAGUUUUCAUAAUUUAAGUGGUAAUGCUUUCUAUUCAAUUUUUAGAUUUAUUAAUUUAAAAUGAUUUUGAUCAUCACUACUUAUUCAUUUAUUGAACACGCAUGUACACAUGGUUAGCAUUAGAUAGUGUGUUUCAGUUCUUACAAAAUAAAUAGUAUAUUUCUGCCUACAAUCGUAAUCCAGUUUAGUAGGUAUGUUGAUAUUUUGAAAAAUCUAUCUGAUAACAUGAAACUAAACUAACUCUUUCAAACUAGGCCUUACGUUCAAGAAGUUGUCCUUGUUCCAGGAGAAUAGAAAAAGCGUAGAGUUCGGCACCAUUAGAUGGGUUUUUAAAAAUAUCAAUUAUUUUAUCUAAAUAUCUUUAAGUUUUUUGAUCUGACAAGCAUUUCUCUAGAUUUUUCUAUUAAAAAAAUUUUUUUUACCCUCAUUUUGCAAUUAUAGAAUUACUUAUGAAUCAAAAUGAGACAUCCUAUGUAUGUAUAUGCAAGUGUCAAGUUGAAAAAUCCAAACCUGCUAUAAAAUAAUGGUGGAUCGUAUUUAAGAUAUUUGACCAAUUCCGUACAUUUUUGACCCUUGCAUACAUUUUGCUACAUAUAUUUAAAAAAAGGACCCUAUUUAAUUUAUUGGUAUAAAUUUUUUCUAACUUGCAUUUUAAAAGAAAUUUUAAUCUAAUUGUACUCAAAUUUGCAUUUUUAAAAGCUUUUUUUAAUUGAUUUUACAGCUUCAAAACUUAUUGCAAUUAAUUCACAUUAAGCAACCUACUGAGGUAUAUACACUAGCUGUUAAGAACAGUGGUUUCUUUUAAAGACUUGAAAUGCAUUUCAUUAACUUUUUUUUAACUUAGCAUGUUUGUCAAAUGCAUUUUGAAAUGAAUGCAGUAUAUUUUGUUUGAUCUAUAUGAAAAUAAAAAUUAUUUAAUAAGAUUUUUAAUUUAACCAGUUUUUUUUUCCUCUUAAUUUUCAGUUUUUUUCCUAAUAAGUUAUUUUAAAACAUGAUAUAGUCUGGUUUUUCAAAUAUAAAACAAUAUAAAUAUUUAGGAAAUCUGGUAUUUGUGUCACUAUUUCAUAUUUUUCUUAUUAAGAUAAGCUGUUCACAUUCAAGCUAGAGUAGUGGUUCCUAAACUUUCUAAGAGAUCUUCAUUGUACCCAAUUCUCCAGGUUCCGUUUUCUCUUACUGCGCCAAUAAAAUUUUCUUAAUAUUUUUCUCUCAAAAGUCAUUAGUUUCUCUUUGUGAGCUUUGUUAAUUGGCCAGCAUUAGCUGCUAUAUAAAGCUAUUGGUCUCACUAGUGUCUUGUACAACUGUAUUUUUGUUUCACAACUUAAGUAUUUAGCUUUGAACUGCUCAGUCCAUGAUAACAUCUGUUAGCCAUGUUGAUUGUAUUUUUGAUUUAAAUUCUUAUGCCAUUAUUAUAAUUAUUUACUAUUGUUCCUAAAUAUUUAAAUUGAGCUACUUGUUCAAGCCCAUAUUCAUUAAUUUUCAGUGGUUGCAUAUUUGUGAUUCUGUUCGUUAUUACCAUGAGUUUAGUUUUUUCAUCAUUGACUGAUAAUCCUCUGUAUUUUGCUGCUACCUUGAGUGCACAGAAAACCUCUAUUAUAGCUGCUCUAGCUCUUUCCACAGCAUUAUCUGCUAGCAGUUGUACGGUUUUAACAAAAAAUUGUGAUCUGUGUUUGUAUACCAGAGUCUAAUUGCCUUCUCUAGUGCUAUAUUAAACAGAUGACAUGACAGGGAGUCCCACUUUUUCAGUUCCCUUUCAAUAUAGAUGCGUCUGAUACUUCUGGUCCUAAUUUUACUAUAUUACGGAUCAUUCAUAUGAGGUUAAUUUUUUAGAGAUUCCCAACCCUGACAUUGCCUGAUACAAUUUCUCUCUAUUGAUGCUAUCAUAAGCUGUUCUAAAGUCAAUAACGAGAUGAAAAGUAUCUAUGCUAUAUUCUCUUGUCUUCUUAAAUAUUUGUCUAAUGCUGUGUAUUUGAUCUCUGCCCGUUUGAAAUCCACACUGGUAUUUCCCAAUUACUCUGCUAGUUUAAGUAACAAGUCAUUCUGCCAGGACUUUCUAAUGAAUAGAGUUCAUUUUUCUUUUAAUUUCUAUAACAUUAUUUCAUAUCUGCUUGAAAUUCUAUCUGUUAGCUGAUUUUAAUGUUUAGGCUAAGCAGAGAAGGUAAUUAGCAAUAUAUAGUUUCUUUUAAUUUUGAUUUAUAUUUUUGCAACAAUUUUUGAACAGAUAAAAUUUAUGAUCCGCUUGAAUGCAGAUUGGGAACCACUAGUUUAGUGUUUUCUGGUUAUGCAAUUGAAGACUGUCGGAGCUUAUUUUUUUAAAUUCGUUUCACGAGUAAUGAUUUGUUAAACAAUUAUAUAUUUCUCUUAAAUGUCUUGUAUCUUGUGGAUUAACCAAAAAUUCAAAUUAAUUUAUAUUAUAUACAUGAACGAAUUGCUAUCAGAAUCCAAGCAACCCGAGAGUUUAAUGUAGUCAGUUAAGUGUUGCAUGAUUAUAAAAAUACAUAUAUUUUUCACACAUAAUAUUACACUAAUAUUCUGAAGAAACAGAUUUUGAAAUAAUUUAAAUUUAGCAAGUUGUGAGCUUACUUUGUUGACGUGCAUCAAAUUGGAAAUAAUCUUGUUUUUAACAGUGACAUUUGAACUACUGAUUGUUCUAAAUAUUGACAAGAAAAAAAAAAUGAGGAGGAAAAUAAGGAAAUCAAAAUAUCAGAGAGCUUGUAGUUAAUCUCAUGACUGCUAAGAGUCUUUUAAUUAGAAAAUAUUUCUAUGAACAAAUUAAAUUAAAAGUUAUUGUGCUUGGAUAAUAUUAAUACGAAGUUGAUUAAUUUGACAAUCAGAAAAUUUCUCAAUUUGUUAUUAAUUCAGUUUAAAAAGUCAGCUUGAAUAAUUUAACAUUUGUUAGAAUACUGUAUGAAAUAACAAUUACGAAAAUUCAUUGUAAGAUAAAGUUAAUAUUCUGAACUAAAUCAGUUACUAUUUACCUGAAACUUAGUUCAUCUUGAUGAAUAAUUUUUACAUUGAUUGCCAAUUUUUUUAUGCCAUAAAUGUAGGUUUAAGUUCAUUAUCAAAGGCAAUAUGAUUAUAGAGUUCAUUCUUAUGCUCAAUGUGGUAAAUUGAUAAAAACUCAAAUUACUAAAUACUUAUUGAAAUCAUAAGAAGCUUUAAAUAAUCUUCUGCUCAAAGUGUAACAUUUCUUUGUUAAAUAGAAUUGAAGUGGUAUGCUAGCCUUUAUGCUGUAUAUACUAAUUACAAAAAAUAAGCAGGCUUUGUGCUAUAAUUGUACAGGUUAAAAUACAACCUUGUACUGCUGUUCUAUACUUAGAUUGUUAUCUUAACUUUAUUUGUUGAUAUUCUGUUAUUUUGUUUUUAUUUUUAAUGAAUUGUGAAUGUGUCUUGUUCAUGAAAAUACAUGUAUAUAUAACUAAUUAUGAUUCUCAUUACAAUGAUGUAAUAUGACUGUAUUAAAAAAUAUCAAAGAUCUGUUACUAGACCAAGCAUUUAAAGAAUUGAUGUUUUGUUUUGAAAAAUACAAAAAAAAGUGCUCAUUAUUAGAGCUUCUUGAAAUACUCUAUGGGUUGUUGUUUUAAAUUUAUUUUACAGAAAUAUAAAAGUCCUCAUUUUAACAAAUAUGAUUUUUUUCUGUUUUUAAGCAACAUUAAGUACAAAAACUGUGACUAUAUUAGUAUUUAAAUUUGUAAAAUAUGUAUUGUCAUUAAAAGAAUUUUUAAUA